GACGGAGGAUGCAAGCGUUAUCCGGAAUUAUUGGGCGUAAAGCGUCCGCAGGUGGCUGUUCAAGUCUGCUGUCAAAGCGCAGAGCUUAACUCUGUACAGGCGGUGGAAACUGAAGAGCUAGAGUAUGGUGGGGGUAGAGGGAAUUCCCGGUGUAGCGGUGAAAUGCGUAGAUAUCGGGAAGAACACCAGUGGCGAAAGCGCUCUACUGGGCCAUAACUGACACUGAGGGACGAAAGCUAGGGGAGCGAAAGGG
rnacentral:rRNA from 1 species